GAUGAACGCUGGCGGCGUGCUUAACACAUGCAAGUCGAACGGGAAUUCCUUUAUUGUAACUUCGGCUGGUUUAACUUAAUUCUAAUUGCGGACGGGUGAGUCACCCGUGGGUUUUGUGCUUUAUUCAGGGGGCUGACACUCAGACCUGGUUGCUACUCCUGCAUAAGCGUGGCGGGCUGCAUGGCUCAGCGUGUAAACAUCCGGUGGUAUCAUAUGGUCGCGCGUGGGAUUAGCUGGUUGGUCGGGUCAUAGACGACCAAGGCGACAUUCCAUGGCCGGCCUGAGAGGGUGAACGGCCACAUUGGGACUGAGACACGGCCCAGACGCCUACGGGAGGCAGCAGGGGGGAAGAGUGCACAAUGGGGGAAACCCGGAUGCAGCGACGCCGCGUGAAGGAAGAAGUAGCUCGGUAUGAAAACUUCAAUCAACAGGGAAGAUAGUGACGGUACCUAACUAAGAAGCCCCGGCUAACUACGUG
rnacentral:rRNA from 1 species